AUUGAACGCUGGCGGCAGGCCUAACACAUGCAAGUCGAACGAGUGGCGGACGGGUGAGUAAUGUCUGGGAAACUGCCUGAUGGAGGGGGAUAACUACUGGAAACGGUAGCUAAUACCGCAUACCAUCGGAUGUGCCCAGAUGGGAUUAGCUAGUGGGUGGGGUAAAGUCUCCCCUAGGCGACGAUCCCUAGCGGGUCUGAGAGGAUGACCAGCAACACUGGAACUGAGACACGGUCCAGACUCGCACGGGAGGCAGAAGUGGGGAAUAUUGCACAAUGGGCGCAAGCCUGAUGCAGCCAUGCCGCGUGUAUGAAGAAGGCCUUCGGGUUGUAAAGGACUUUCAGCGGGGAGGCGUUACCAGCAGAAGAAGCACCGGCUAACUCCGUGCCAGCCGCCGCGGUAAUAC
rnacentral:rRNA from 1 species